UGUAAUGGACAGCCACGUCUCUCUAUAGAGUAAAAAUCCAGGUGUGGUGUGGGAAAACGAUGCAACUGUCCAGGGAGACUGUGACUCUGCGUGGUUGCCUCCAUAGCUGUGGGAUACCUCUCGGAGCAGCAAUCUGGGUUCCCAGCAAGGAACAUGCACAGAAGACAGGAAUGCAUCUGUUUACCUUUGGGCUAUCAAUGGGAUCAUUAAACAGAAAGGAUUGAGAAGCAGCUGAUCUUAUUUGACUCUUGAUGCACAAAAGUGUCCUAUUUGGAGCCAAAGCAAAUGUUUCCUUGGGGAUUGUUCCAGAGAGCCUCGCUUCUGUGCUCUUGCAGGCCAACUGUGUGGCUAGAAUUAGAAGCAUGUUUUAAAACUCACUGUACAGACGGCACGUGGGAGAGCCACUGGCAGCGGGACGUGGAGGACGGGCUGGCCCAUGUAAUUCCCGGGGAACUUUGUUCUCUUCGCAGCAGGAGACCACGGAGCUGCGGCGCGAGCGUCCCAGCGAGCCCCUGGGAAUCACUGCGGGGUUGAACACCCAGAUGGCCAUGGGCUGCUAUUUAUUCAUCCUCCCCCCACGCCGAGAUGGGAGGGACGAGGCUGCUUACCGACUGUUCCUGUUCCUGGCUAACGUUGUGAUCUGCUGUUCCUAUUUCUCGUGUAAGAGUGGGAAACUUUUCUCUCUGUCUUAUUAAAUCUAUUUUUCAAGCUGUCACUUAACCAGGUCUAGUGACAGAGUCGGAUGUUUAUGUGGCCCUGGACACUUGAACUCUGGUGUUUUCAAUCACAACAGCACCUUUUGCCAGCCGUUGUGAAUUAAAUACUCCUCGUGACCUUUUACCCUCGCCGCUCUUAAAUUCAUGCUUUAAAAACAGCUUAAUGAGGGGUUUACUGGCCCAAUUGGAAGUUUUUAUUAAAACCUAUUAGUGUGCUAGAGUAGCCUGCCUGAAGGAAACGAUUAGCCCAAAGCAACUAAACUCGGAGCUGGCCCCUAGCCACACCAGGUUUUCACUAAACUGUUUCCAGACCCACGUUAACCCUAACACUGCAGCUUGCAUGGUAUUCAUAUCCUCUGCUUUAAUUUAUAGCUUGUCUGAUUCUCUCCCCAGCCUUUCUCCAUGUUCACGAAAGCAUUUUGUUUUAAUGUAAUUAGACCUGCAUUAAAGGGCAACGUGCCUUCAUUGAGGCCUGCCUUGUUUGAGAGCCUCAAUUAAGUGGAAGCGUUCCCCCAAAAUCCUCUGCUGAUGCCGCCCGGGGAAGAGGUUGCCCUACGGAUGUGGUCCGGAGCCCACUUGGACAAAGCCGUGAUGCUCCCGGGGCACUGGUUCAGCUUCCUGUGAGGAGCAUCCCAGCAUCAGCGCGGUGGUGCAGCUGCCUUGGCGGAGCACCCCUGGUGGGUUUGACAUGAAGCUGAGUUAUCUGGAGGGACCCCAACCUCAGGAGAGCGCGCAGGACCUGGUGGAAAUCCUGGCUGGCUUCUGCUGCGAACUUCCCGUUGGAUCCUGGCUUGUUUUCUCUAACUCCGUGUUUUAUAUUCAAAACCGGGCCAGUCGUUCUCGCCCAUCUUAAAAAUAACCUUUACAAUGCUGCUGAAGCCCUGUAGCCGUCAUCUUUGUGUUCUUGUGCUUGUGCCUCCGCGCAGCUGAGAAACGCAGGCCAGAGCUCCUACAUGUGAGGAAAAUUGCUGUCGCAAGUGCCGUGCCCCAAAAGUGCCGAGCAGCCGUCAACUUUACGUGUUCUCUCCCCAUCCAUGCGCCUGGCUGCUUGUCCAGGCUUCCUGUGGGGUCUCCGGGAACGGCAAGGUCUUUGAGAAGGGACUUCCAGUUCCUUUUUUUAAAUUAUUUUUAUGUGUGUGUGUAUAUAUAUAAAAAAAAUAUUUUUUUGGCACAGUAGUUUGCCUGUUUGUAGAUGUCCGUAGCUACUGAACUGAAGGCAUGAAAUAAUACAAAACUUGUAAGCUGGAUUUAAUGUUUUGCUGGUGGUUUUCUUUGUUGUCUGGCUGCUGAAAUGACUGGCCGUGCGUUCAUGAUACAUCCCCGAAGUCACGAUCCAUCACCCCGGGGAGUCCCUGAUGGACGUGUGAAUGCCGUUGUCAGGCUUGAUGUUUUUCCUUGCUAACCUAUAAUCAGGGAAGGCAAGUUGAAGAGUGAGACACAGACUCUCCUUUACAAGACCUUGUUUUAGCCUGCAAAGAAGCCAGAUUCCCCUGCAAUAAGAUUACAGAUAGAAAAUAUCAAAAUUAAUAGAAAAAAAACCCAGGGAGUUGCCAGUGUACCAACUGGCCUGCUGUUUGAGUGACACAGAUUUAGGUGCUGGGAUGCAUUUUGAGCAUUGUAAAGUGAUUUUCCGUGAGCAAAGCACAAACCAAAAAGCAACUGGUCCUUCUCUGCACCGCGUGUUUCCUGAGUGUCACCUCCUGUCUUUAUUUUUACCGGCAUAUGGAUGCACCAACCUUGGGAGGUGCCCUUUAAAAAGAAUGUUUAAGGAAAAAUCUGCCAUUAAAGUUAUUACUGAAAAGUA